rnacentral:rRNA from 1 species
GACGAACGCUGGCGGCGUGCCUAAUACAUGCAAGUCGAGCGCAGGAAGUCAUCCGACCCCUUCGGGGGGACGUUGACGGAAUGAGCGGCGGACGGGUGAGUAACACGUAAAGAACCUGCCCUCAGGUCUGGGAUAACCACGAGAAAUCGGGGCUAAUACCGGAUGGGUCAUCGGACCGCAUGGUCCGAGGAUGAAAGGCGCUCCGGCGUCGCCUGGGGAUGGCUUUGCGGUGCAUUAGCUAGUUGGUGGGGUAAUGGCCCACCAAGGCGACGAUGCAUAGCCGACCUGAGAGGGUGAUCGGCCACACUGGGACUGAGACACGGCCCAGACUCCUACGGGAGGCAGCAGUAGGGAAUCUUCCACAAUGGACGAAAGUCUGAUGGAGCAACGCCGCGUGAACGAUGAAGGCCCUCGGGUCGUAAAGUUCUGUUGUAAGGGAAGAACAAGUGCCGCAGGCAAUGGCGGCACCUUGACGGUACCUUGAGAGAAAGCCACGGCUAACUACGUG